GUCCACGCCGUAAACGAUGGAUACUAGCUGUUGGGCGCAAGUUCAGUGGCUAAGCGAAAGUGAUAAGUAUCCCACCUGGGGAGUACGUCGGCAACGAUGAAACUCAAAGGAAUUGACGGGGGCCCGCACAAGCGGAGGAACAUGUGGUUUAAUUCGAUGAUACGCGAGGAACCUUACCAAGGCUUAAAUGUAGAUUGACCGGUUUGGAAACAGACUUUUCGCAAGACAAUUUACAAGGUGCUGCAUGGUUGUCGU
rnacentral:rRNA from 1 species